rnacentral:rRNA from 1 species
UACGAGUGCCUCAAGCGUUAUCCGGAAUCAUUGGGCGUAAAGGAUGUGUAGGUGGUUGUGUUAGUCUCUUGUUAAAUUCUUCGGCUUAACCGGGGGCAUGCAAGGGAAACGGCACGACUCGAGGAUGCGAGGGGUCUGCGGAACUCAUAGUGUAGCGGUGAAAUGCGUUGAUAUUAUGGGGGAACACCAAAAGCGAAGGCAGCAGACUGGAGCACUCCUGACACUGAAACAUGAAAGCGUGGGUCGCGAAUAGG